GAUGAACGCUGGCUACAGGCUUAACACAUGCAAGUCGAGGGGAAACGACGGGGAAGCUUGCUUCCCCGGGCGUCGACCGGCGCACGGGUGAGUAACGCGUAUCCAACCUGCCUCUGACUGAGGGAUAACCCGUCGAAAGUCGGCCUAAUACCUCAUGGUAUCGUCUGCGGGCAUCCAACGACGAUUAAAGAUUUCAUCGGUCAGGGAUGGGGAUGCGUCUGAUUAGCUUGUUGGCGGGGUAACGGCCCACCAAGGCUACGAUCAGUAGGGGUUCUGAGAGGAAGGUCCCCCACAUUGGAACUGAGACACGGUCCAAACUCCUACGGGAGGCAGCAGUGAAGAAUAUUGGUCAAUGGGCGAGAGCCUGAACCAGCCAAGUAGCGUGCAGGAAGACGGCCCUAUGGGUUGUAAACUGCUUUUAUGCGGGGAUAAAGUGAGGGACGUGUCCCUCAUUGCAGGUACCGCAUGAAUAAGGACCGGCUAAUUCCGUG
rnacentral:rRNA from 1 species